rnacentral:rRNA from 1 species
CCUACGGGUGGCAGCAGUGAGGAAUAUUGGUCAAUGGGCGUAAGCCUGAACCAGCCAAGUCGCGUGAGGGAUGAAGGUUCUAUGGAUCGUAAACCUCUUUUAUAAGGGAAUAAAGUGUGGGACGUGUCCUAUUUUGUAUGUACCUUAUGAAUAAGGAUCGGCCAACUCCGUGCCAUAAGCCGCGGUAAUACGGAGGAUACGAGCGUUAUCCGGAUUUAUUGGGUUUAAAGGGUGCGUAGGCGGCCUUUUAAGUCAGCGGUGAAAUUCUGUGGCUCAACCACAGCAUUGCCUUUGAAACUGGCAGGCUUGAGUUUGUUAGAGGUAGGCGGAAUGCGUGGUGUAGCGGUGAAAUGCUUAGAUAUAACGAAGAACACCGAUUGCGAAGGCAGCCUGCCAAGCCAUGACUGACGCUGAUGCACGAAAGCGUGGGGAUCAAACAGGAUUAGAUACCCCUGUAGUC